rnacentral:rRNA from 1 species
GUCCACGCCCUAAACGAUGUCUACUAGUUGUCGGGUCUUAAUUGACUUGGUAACGCAGCUAACGCGUGAAGUAGACCGCCUGGGGAGUACGGUCGCAAGAUUAAACUCAAAGGAAUUGACGGGACCCGCACAAGCGGUGGAUGAUGUGGAUUAAUUCGAUGCAACGCGAAACCUUACCUACCCUUGACAUGGCUGGAAUCCCUGAGAGAUCGGGGGUGCUCGAAAGAGAACCAGUACACAGGUGCUGCAUGGCUGUCGU